GACGAACCGUGCGAACGUUGUUCGGAAUCACUGGGCUUAAAGGGCGCGUAGGCGGGUGACCAAGUCCGGGGUGAAAUCUUUCGGCUUAACCGGAAAAGUGCCUUGGAUACUGGUCGCCUGGAGGGAGGUAGGGGGCAUGUGGAACUUCCGGGUGGAGCGGUGAAAUGCGUUGAUAUCGGAAGGAACGCCCGUGGCGAAAGCGAGGUCCUGGACGCCUACUGACGCUGAGACGGCGAAAGCCAGGGGAGCGAACGGG
rnacentral:rRNA from 1 species